CACUAUAUGAUUAACUGCUUUUGUUUUACUUUUGGGGCUGGAGCCCUGGGCCAAGGGAGACCUGUGACCCCAGGUGGGAAAUCAGCUCUCCGUGACCCAGCACCCCUACCCAGCAGCGCAACAGAUCCUGAGAGGAGCUACAGGAUGAUUCUAGAAACAGCGCACUUCAGGAAUCAUGGUGCAGGUGUUGUGCAUUGGAUCCACCACAGUCGGCUGAAACUGACAACUCAAGACAAGUGGACCAGCCAGCAGGACCCAGAUCAUCCAACUCGGCUGAUCCUGAGACGGGACCAAACUGCUGCCGAAGACGACCGCCCUGUUCUGGUCACUCCGGAGGCUAACCAGCCUACGCAUGGCUGAA
rnacentral:lncRNA from 1 species